rnacentral:lncRNA from 1 species
GCAGUCAGUGCUCUUAACCGCUGAGCUAUUUCUCCAGCCCAGUUCUUGUCAUCCUUAGAAAAGAAAGGGAUCCAUUCAUUUUCCAAGUUGGCUUAAGAUAAAGGUUCAACUUAAUAUGCCUGGCAAUCAGUUGACUUUGAAUGUGGCAACUCAUUAAAGGGAUCAGCAGACAGAGACCGAGUGUGACUGACUUCGUGUCACCCCUGAGGGCUGCAUUGCCUAGUCUUUCAGAGGCUGGUAUAAAGAGUGCUUAUGCAUGGGGAGAUAAGCUAAGCCAGGGAAUUUGCUCGGCACAUAAAAACGAGGACCCAUGAAAGAAAUGGCAGGCAUGGUGGUGAACAUCUGAAAGCCUGCUGUUCUAGAGAGACAGAGACGGGGCAUCCCCGGGGCUUGCCAGACAAUCAGCUGAGCCUACUUGCUGAGUUCCAGGCUAUCGAAAAACCCACCUCAAAAUCAACAUCAAGGGGAGGCCAAUGGAAUGGUUCGGUGGAUAAAGGUGCCUGCCGCCAAGCCUGACAACCUAAGUUCAAGGUCCAGCAUCCACAGGAUAUAAAGAAAGAACAGGCUCCUGAGACCUCCCAGGUACACUGGGCUCUCUCUCUCUCUCUCUCUCUCCCUCUCUCUCUCUCUCUCUCACACACACACACACACACACAAAUAAUAUAACAUAACAUAACAUAACAUGAUUUAAUUUUUUUUAAACCAGAAAAAAUGGCUCAACAGUUAAGAGCACUUGAUAUUCUUGCAGAGGACCUGAGUUUGGUUCCCAGCACCUACAUGUCAGCUCACAACCAUUUCUAUCUCCACUUCCAGGCUAUCUUGCACCCUCUUCUGGCUUCCAUGGGCACCGGACAUGCAUAUGAUGCACAGGCUUGCAUGCAGGCAAAACACCCAUGUACAUAAAAUACAAGUUAAUUUAACAUUAAAACAACCUUUAAAGGUGUGGGGCUCAGCGGCUAAGGGCACUGGCUGCUCUUCCAGAGGAGCUGGAUUCAGUUCCCAGUACCCGCAUGGCACCCAACAACCAUCUGUAACUCCAGCCCCAGAAGAAAUCCAAUACCCCUUUUCUGGCCUCCUCGGGCCCCAGGUGCUCCCACAGUGCACAGACACACACAGACAAAACAGCUAUACUCACAAUAUAAACAUAUUUCUGCCGUAUGUGCUCAGAAUCAAACUCAGGUUCUCUGCAAGAGUGAUAAGCACUUUUAAUUGCUACACCAUCUCUCCAGAUCUCCACAUUAUUUUUUGAGACAGGGUUUCUCACAGGAAUUCAUAAACUGACUAUAGGGACUAGCCAAUAGACCAUCUCUGCUGCCCUAGCACCGGAAUGGAGGUGCGGGCCACAGUACCCAGCUUCUCACAUGGGUACUGGGGAUCCGAGACCUCAGAUUCUUCUAUUGUGCAGCAAGCAUUUUUACCAGUGCCGCUAUCUCACCAGCACAAAUAAUCAGUUUAUAUUGUGAAAAUCAGUUUGGUAUUAAUUGGCUUCAAACCUAAUGUAGGUAGCCAACUACAUACCUUGGGUUCUAGGAAGAAAGAGGAAGGAAAAGAAGGCCAGUGUGUACUUAAGAUUGUGGCCAUGUGCUCUAUAAACAAGGCUCUAUAAGGGAGGAAAAUAUCAAUAUGCUUAUUAAAGUGACACUAAAGUGAGGUCUUCUAUACUCCUGGGCAAAUAUUCCAGAAAAACCUAUCAAGAAGGCAGGUUAGGAACUUCCUUAAGGUUUAAGAUGAGAUAUCAAAUUUGUAUCGGGGAGCUGAGCCCAACAGAGCACCUGGCUCCUGCUAGAGAAACAAUAGAGGGCAAGAAACAAGCACCCAUAUUUAAAAACUAUCUCAUACUCUAAAUGCUUUAGAAGGGAAAAAACACUGUCUUUGCUGCUGCUCAAUGACAAAUAUUCUGACACCAUCAGUCAUUCAGCCAAAGGCAGGUUGACUGGAGACAGAGCUUCCCACCCAGGGACACUGGGGUAAGUGUCUAAAGAUAACACCUGGAUUAUGUUGCUCUGGCUGAUGUCUGCAAAACAAAACACCAACUAGACUUAACUGCUAUCCCUGUCAUUCUCUAUUUGUGGGUCAGCACUGCCCCCUGCUGGACAUUAGACUUGCACCAGGUUAUUUAACCAUCCCCUAGAUAGGAAACUCACACGGAGUAACAGUGUGGCCACACACAGUAACAAUGUUGCCACAUCAGUUACAACGCUGCCACCCCAGAUCGCUGUGGAGAUAAAAUGAAUAAAUACAGAAGAAAACUCCAAGAGCUGACAGCCGGUGAGUGCUCACUCUGUUGGCACAAUAGCGAUUACUAUUGUGCCGGUCACCCCCAGAUCCAUUUAGUAAAUAACAUUCAGAUCAGCACUUCAUAUGCCCUAAUGCCUCCAUGGGGCAGUGUCUAACCUGUACUAAACAGUGCUAUCAUCUGCCUUAUUGUCAUUGAAGCAUAGACUACAUAAAUGACGACUAUCAGGAUCAGUGAGAUGACAUACAUGCAGAUACUCAACAUACCCAUAAAAAUACAUAGAUCUUGAAAAACAAGCCUACCACAGCAAAUAGAAAUUGAAGAAUUCAUUCUCAAUAUGUAGAUAUAUGUACAUACUUCUGUAUGUGUUUGGGUAGAGAGGGGGAUAGAUGAUAGAUAGAUAGAUAGAUAGAUAGAUAGAUAGAUAGAUAGAUAGAUAGAUAAUCUUUCUUAUAUUAGUCCCAUAACUUCUAACUUACUCAGAAAACAGUACAAGCAUUUCCUGCUGAGAGAGGUACUAGACAGAGUAUAACUGUAUUUCCACUGCUCAUAAAGAUUGUCUUAGAGAUAGUAACAACGUAAUUAACGAGUAUGGGUGAGAGACUCUGUAAUUUGUAAAGUAAAAUUAUAUCUGCAGAUGCCAUACCAUACACACACACAUAUUCAUAUUAAUAUACAAGAAUCGAGUAAGGUCCAGUCUUAGUUUGCUUCUCCAAUGCUGUGAUAAACAUCAUGGGUGAGAGCAACUGGAGAACAAAAGGGUUCACACGGCUCACAGCUUACAGUCCAUCAUCCCAGGAAACCGAGGCAGGAACCUGGAGGCAGGACUGAGGCAGAGACCACAGCAGCAUGCCGGCAUGCUGCUUACUCACUCGCCUUUUUGCACAACCCAGGACCACAGCCCUCUGGACCCUCCUGCAUUGGUUAGAAAAAAGAAAAUGUCCCCCCCACCACCACCAGACAUGCCCAUGAGCCAAUCUGAUGGAGGCAAUCCCUCAGUUGAAGUUCCCUCUUCCCAGGUCACACUCAAGUUUGUGUCAGGAUGACAAAACCAACCAGCACAGAUGUUCUAAGAAUAGGAAAUGACCAUGCAUAAACCAGUUUUCUUCCUACCAAAAAUUUUUUUUAAGAUUUAUUUAUUUAUUUAUUUAUUUAUUUAUUUAUUAUAUGUAAGUACACUGUAGCUGUCUUAAGACACUCCAGAAGAGGGCGCGUCAGAUCUUGUUACAGAUGGUUGUGAGCCACCAUGUGGUUGCUGGGAUUUGAACUCCAGACCUUCGGAAGAGCAGUCGGGUGCUCUUACCCACUGAGCCAUCUCACCAGCCCCCUACCAAAAUUUUAAUUUAGUAGCAUAUAGAAUAAUAGGGAAAUCUUCACUUGCAAUAACAAUACAUAAAAGUAUAAUUUAGCAAAUAAACAUUCUUAUACACACAUAAAGAUAUAUAUACACAUAGAAACAUAUAUAUACAUACAUAUAGAUAUACAUACACACAGACAUAGGUAGAUGAUAGAUAGAUAGACAGACAGACAUAUAUAUAUUCCUAUAGCUAGAUAAAAAUAGGGAACACACUGAAGAAGGCAAAGACAUGCUUGAUAAUUUGUCCAUGGUAUCUUCAUUUCUAGCCUGGGAUAAUUCAACACCGGUUUUUCCAAAAUGAUGGAGAAAAAUACAAACAAGCUUUUAAUAAAAUUAGAAUGGUGUUAAAGUUUAUAUGGAAAAAGUAUUAUACAAAAUGGCCAGAAAACCACUGGGGGGAAAAAACCCAGAAACUAUAAAGGGUUCUACUAGAUGUUUAAGCAAAAUAUUAAAAUAUUAAGCCCCCUAUUAAAACUGUGUGAUGAUGUUACACAAGGAGAUGAAUAGGAAGCUCAGAUAGAACCCCAGAGUGUGUGUGGGGGGGUGUUACUCCAUGAUAAAGGAAACAUAUCAGACCACUGUCAUUACGAUGGACUUUCUAAUAAAUGGCACUGAGACAACUGGUAGCCACUCCAGGGAAAAAUAGGCUGAUUGUAUCUAAAAACUGUUUAGUGAAAAGCUUCAUGUUUCAGAUUUGUUAUCUUUUCUUGGACAUGGCGGCUUUGCAGACACAGGUAACAAGGGAAAAGUAGACGUUCUGGCCCUCGCCCACUCCUUAGGCCAUUGUCUCCAGGCCUCGCUCAAGGUAUGUCUAGUUUUCUACCGAUGAGAUGCCCAAUUGUAUUUAACAUAUCGUUGGCAUGAUAUUGAUAGGAAACAAAGUCAAGGAUAUUAGAAAUACUCAUUUUAGCUAGGCAGCAGUGGUGCACACCUUUUAUCCCAGCACUUGGGAGGCAGAGACGGGGGGAUCACUGAGUUUUAGGACAGCCAGAGCAAGAAACAGAAGAGAAGAGAAAGAUUUUAAAAGGUAUUUGUUGGGAUGGAGGGGAAGAGGGGAAGACCCUCAUAGACUCCUAUAUUUGAACGCUUGGUCAUCAGGGCAUGGUACUAUUUGAGAAAAAUUAGAGGCAUGGCCUUGUUGGAGGAAGUGUGUCACAGGGAGAGUGGGCUUUGAGGUUUCAAAAGCCCAAACCAGCCCAGUGUCUCUCUGCUGUUCCUGCUGUCUGCAGAUCCAGAUGUAGAACUCUCAGCUACUUCUCCAGCACCAUGUCUGCCUGUGUGCCUCCAUGCUCCUGUCAUGAUGGUGAUGGACUAAACCUCUGAAGUGACUCCAACAUUUAAAGGAACAGAUUCUAGCCACAAGACAACAGGCUUAACUUCCCUUUGAAGGAGCAGAACAAGUUACCUCAGAGACAGCCAAGAAGUGACCUCAGAGACAGCCAAGGAGUGACCUCAGAGACAACCAACGAGUUACCUCAGAGACAGCCAAGGAGUGACCUCAGAAACAACCAAGGAGUUACCUCAGAGACAGACAAGGAGUUACCUCAGAGACAACCAAGGAGUUACCUCAGAGACAGCCAAAGUGAUACCUCAGAGAUGGCCAAGGAGUUACCUCAGAGACAGCCAAGGAGUGACCUCAGAGACAAGGACAAGCAGGAGACUUCUUCAAAACUUAAAGCUUUCACAGAAGGAGGUAACUUACCAAAUAUCUUAGUCAAGUAUUCAUCUUGCUUAUGUGAACUUGAUUCAAACUCAGAAUCGCUGAUGCCAUUAUGGUGGAGAUAGGCUGUGAGAAAACAAAUUUCAGCAGUGGUUAAAUCUCUCCUCAAACCUAAACCUUGUCUCUUUAAAGCCCCACUCCUCUGCAAGGCACUUCUAUAGGAAGAGCACAUAACUGGUGCCUUAGUCUCCCUCUCAUUGCUGUGAAAAAAAAUUACUCUGGCAAAAGCAACUUUAGGGAGAAAAGAUUUGUAUUGGCUUGUGCUUCCAAAAGGAUACAGUCUAUUACAGUGUAGAAGACACGGAGGCAGGAGCAGGAUGUUGGCUGGUAACAUCGCAUCCAUGCUCAGCAAGCAAGGAGAGAUGCAUGCAUGCUUUAUAUACUGCACUCAGUUUUUCCACCUCAUACAGCCCAGCAUCCCCAGUCCAGAAAAUGGUCCCACCCACAUCAAUUGAUAAAAUCAAGAUAACCCCUCAUAGGCAUGCCCAGAGGCCCAUGCAAAGUUAAUUCUGCAAAGUAGAGAAGUAACCAUCACUGUGACUCCAUGCUCACUUUGUCUGAGUGGCACAGGGCAUCUACGGAGUAUCUGCAAGCAUCUAAAGUUUGGGCCUACAAGGUGGAUCGGCAGGUCAGGGCACUUCUGGCCAAGCCUGAUACGUUCAAUACCUGGGACCCACAUGUUGGAAGGAAAGGACCAACUCCAGACUUCCUCCUGUACACCAUAGCAAAUGCAUGCGCGACACACAAGACAAACAAAUGUGUGUGAAAAUACUUUAAACAGAGCCUGAAGCUCCAGCACACAGCCUGGCAGAGACCAUUUCCCACUGUGUCUUUGCAGACAAUAGGCACAAGCCACUGACUGAUGUGUGUGCACACACAGGCUCUCACUUGAGACUGAAACUGGUAGAAGGGCCUGAGUGGUGGGUGCCAAAAGCCAAAAGCAGGGCUGCUUUGAGCCAAUAAAAAUCAAAAUUCUCUAUUAAUGAGACGUGAGGGAGCCAUUAGAACAGAAUACAUCUAAUCCUUAAGCACUCCACUGAAAGCAUGCCCUAUUGUAUCAACUAAGGGGAUAGCAUAAAACUUGCCACAGAGCAAGCUAAAAAGACAAUGCA